rnacentral:misc_RNA from 1 species
UAACCACUCAAGCCUAGCUUGGUAUUGGGGUUCGCGUGUUCGCGGCCCUUAAAAUCAGUGGCGGUGCCGUCUGGCUCUAAGCGUAGUAAUUCUCUCGCUACAGAGUCCCGGCGGUUACUUGCCAGAACCCCCCACAUUUUUA